rnacentral:lncRNA from 1 species
GUCGUCGAGGCUUGAUCUUGAAUUUGGCCGGAAACUUCUUCAAGGGCCGUUGAGGCUUGAUUCUUAAAGGUUAACUCGAACACAUGGCAAGCAGGCACGAGGUGAAGGUGACGGCUUGUUGCUUUGUUCAAUCUUUCUAAUUCACACCUGAGCAGUUUGGUCAACGGUAUGAUCUUCAAGAUUGAUGGGCUCUUCUUCCAAUUGGUGACUUGAUCUUUAAGGAUUUGAUUCAAGGGUGGUGAAACGGCACAUGCAGCCCACAACGCCUAGUAAGUCGACCCAAGAAUUUGAGGGUCAAAACGAGUCCUCCACCAGAGUGAUUGCAAACCUGAUGAUAUGAGAUACUUUUGAUUUUGAAGAAGUAGCGGAUGAAUCGGCACGUGCUUUGUUGUGCUUGUCUCCACAUGCUUCAAUGUAUCAUUUUCCCUUGUCUGAUCUAUUCUUCUGGCAGAAUGUAGCAUCUUCUCGAGUUCUUCAGCUCAGACUCCUUCUGCUGAGCUGACCGUGCAGG